CUGCCCCUCCCAGCUAAAUAACCCUUUCCAUUUUUUUUUCUCCAAAAUAUAGCUGUAUGUGAGGCCAUGACUUACUUCUAGGAUAUCCUUAUGUAGAUGUUGAUGUGAGGUGUUAAAGGUACAACAUAACAGCUGAAUUUCAUCUCCCAGAAUCCUUGCAAUGGCACUAAAGUUCUACUUAUGGGUGAAGCUUAGCAGUGCUAUAUCAAAUUAAGUG